AUCGAACGCUGGCGGCAGGCCUAAUACAUGCAAGUCGAACGAGUGGCGGACGGGUGAGCAAUGUAUGGGCAACUGCCUGAUGGAGGGGGCUAACUACUGGAACCGGUAGCUAAUACUGCAAAACUUCGGUUCUGCCUAGAUGGGAUGAGCUAGUCGGUGGGGGAACGGCUCACCUUGGCGACGAUCCCUAGCUGGUCUGAGAGGGUGACCGGCCACACUGGAACUGAGACACGGUCCAGACUCCUACGGGAGGCAGCAGUGGGGAAUAUUGCACAAUGGACGAAAGCCUGAUGCAGCAAUGCCGCGUGUAUGAAGAAGGCCUUCGGGUUGUAAAGUACUGUCAGCGGGGAGGCGUUACCCACAGAGAAAGCACCGGCUAACUCCGUGCCAGCAGCCGCGGUAAUUC
rnacentral:rRNA from 1 species